rnacentral:rRNA from 1 species
UACGUAGGGUGCGAGCGUUGUCCGGAAUUAUUGGGCGUAAAGGGCUCGUAGGCGGUUUGUCGCGUCGGGAGUGAAAACCCAGGGCUUAACUCUGGGCUUGCUUUCGAUACGGGCAGACUAGAGGUAUGCAGGGGAGAACGGAAUUCCUGGUGUAGCGGUGAAAUGCGCAGAUAUCAGGAGGAACACCGGUGGCGAAGGCGGUUCUCUGGGCCAUUACUGACGCUGAGGAGCGAAAGCGUGGGGAGCGAACAGG